CUGACAGAAGAUAGAGAGCACAUAUGAUGAGUAUAUAGUUAGUCUAUAUCUCUCUCUUUGUGCUCUCUAUUCUUCUGUCAU
rnacentral:pre_miRNA from 1 species